GGCCAGAGGCCGCUCCCUUACCCCUUUACACUGCGUAAGAACAUGAGAACAUGGUCGAGAGGGCACGGGCUCUGAAACAGAAUGUGGGCCCUCACCAGAACCGAACCAUGCUGGCACCCUCGUCUUGGAAUUCCCAGUCUUCAGAACUGGCAUUUCUGAAUUCAAAUCAUGGGCCAUGGAAACAGAACAAAGUGGUGACCUAGUGCUGUGGUAGUCUCACUGGGCCAGAGCAACAAAACAUCCAGGACUUGAGUCAAGGUACUGGAGAAAAGGGAACCAAAGGAAGUUUUUCUCCCCAAGGCAUUUCUCAUUUCAAAUCAUGGAACGUGGAAAUAUGGUAGAAAAUGGUGGCCUAGUGCUGUGGUAGUCUCACUGAAGCAGAGCAACCAAACAUUCAGGACUUGAGUCGUUACUGGAGAAAAGGGAACCAAGGAAAGUAGUCGGACACGAGUGAAGUGACUUAGCAGCAGCAGCAGAUGAAUCCACCUUUUUGAAAUCAGGAUCUGGUACACUGGCAUGAAGGGGAUCUGUUGUUCUGACUGAACACACAGGUAGAGAUCAAGACUGGAGAGUAACAGGCUGCUGGUAAGUCUGAAAGCACCUUCGUGUACAAUGUGCACCUCUAAAAUCUUAAACAUAUAUCUUGGAAAUAGCUGACCUUACAUAUAAGUGUUAAUGUGUCACAAGGAUGCUUUUCACAGCUGGGAUAUAUACCUUGCGAAUGUAUCCUUUUAUCCAGCUUAAGAUCCAUUCUCUGUGUAUACAGAUUUACAAGUGUUUCUCCAUAAAUGAGAUUCUAAAGUACAGAUUGAUUGGUAUCUAGGUCGAUAAAAAUCUUUGCUAGUAUUUUGAGACUUUUAUCCACCAACUCAUCAGUUAGGCAGUGCCCUCUGGCCAGGCUGUCAGUAGAGUGCAUCUCUAUCCAAUGUGUACUGGCUGCUGUUUGCCACAGGUGAGGCCAUCUACUCCAGCCUAGCCCCUGACCCCAAACCCUGGAGCCAGCUGAUUUCAGCUCCAGCCAAAGUGAAAAGAUAACUGUGUGGUUCAAAUUCAUCUUGACUCACAGUUUCACUGUUUUAUCCUGGCUAAAGCUGCUCACUGUGUCUGUGGUUUUCUUACAUAAAUUUUCAAUCCAGCUAGUGCUAUUAUACAGUGUCUUUUCCAACCCUGACGAUGGGGGUGGAUUUUUAGCUCGCAUGUUUUUUCCAGAUGUGAUAAGCUCGCCGUAGCCCUCUUGGUGAGCAAAAGCAUAUCCAGAUCUUCGCGAGCUUGAUCUCCGAGUCUGAGGCUUUCGGCUACGCAUGGGCCUUGCCUUCUUUUGAGCCUUCUGCCACUGGCGGAUCUGGAGACAAAGGAGACCCAGGGUGAGAAGGAGCAUCCAAAUGACAGACUCCACAUAGCAGGCCACUUCCUGAGAUGCUGUAGAUGCUUCAGAAAGGUGUUUGCUGAUGAGAACUUCAUUAGCUUUUCCCUGGACUUCUGGUCAGGCAGAGGACAUGAUUCCAAGAGCAAAGAAUCAACCCCUCAAGUAUCCAUCAGAGCUGCAACAUACCUGAUCACUCAGAGCUGGGAAUAAAUCCACCUUCAAAAAUCUGAAUGCCACCACAGGCAUAACUGAAGCCACUGUUGUUAAGAGAAUAAUAAGCCAGGUGCACUUCUGGGUCAAGGAAUGUCGUGCAUUUCCUGUUAUUAAAGGAAAAUAAACACUGUGGUUAUAAAUCAGACUGAAUUAUUGAAUUGAUUGUUUAGAUUUCCUAGAGAGAACACUGGGUAUCUUUCCCCAGCAUAUAGUAUGUUCAGUGGUGAUAAGAAAAAGGCAAGAACAAUGGUCAGAUCACCCUUGGGAACGGCUUCAUGGCUUGAUCACUAGGAGACUGAUAGCCAGAGACAUGCAUUGUCUGAUCCAGGUUCAGUCCACCUUCACUGAAGAACAGCAUUCUCUCAUCUAGUUUCAGGAUGCCUCAACCACAAAGCAGUCAUUAAAGCCACAUUUACCCUUAAAACUACCAUAUCAAAUGACACAGUAGAUGUUCUAGAUCCAGGUACAAUCGCAAAUGAUGGUCUUUUCCACUGGCUAUGUCAUAAAAAGUAAGCUGUAUCUAUGACAGGAUCAACCUUUUAAAUCCAGGCAACAGCCUCGAGCGGACAUGCUGAUCUCUCUAAUGUUCCCACGGAUAGGAAGUCCUCAAGGUCCCAAGGUGAUCAGAGAUGCUCCUGGGUUUGUGAAAAGAGCCUUCUCCACACUGGGAAACCACUGGUGCAGUCCUUCAAUAUACUAGUUCUAGAGAAUAGUGAAGCUCCUUCCCAAGCCUGGAGCCAGUGUUCUUAUUUUAUACUCACACCUCAUAUCCUGGGCUGUUCGCCUAAACAAAGCAAUAGGGGUCAGUGAGGCAGACAGGAAAAUUAUACAGAAGAUGUCAACUGUACUUAUAUUGCCAAAAUGAGCCUUUGUUCCUUUUGUUGGUUUUCUAGGGAUAUGAUACAUCCAAUUAUCCCUCCCAAUCCUACAGCAUUACCACUAUUUGAAUGGGCUUUAGGUGUGAGGGCUUGGCUACUUAUUGGAAUGUCUGCAUUUUCUUCGUAGGAUAGACACUGCCUACCAAAGACCGCUUGAUUCCAACUGCCUGGGCAGAAAUGAACAACUCCAUAAAUUAAAUAUCUCUGAGCUUCAAAAAGCUGCAGCCAUGGCUGGAAAAAACCCCAUCACUUUAAAACCACACUCCUGUUUGCUGCUGGCUACUAAGAAAAAAUUUCUUAAACCUCAGUGUUGAUCUAACUUUUGAAAAGUCUCAUUGGAACUCAGUAAUUAAUUCCUGGAAUGGCAUGUGCUUAGCUGGAGAGAGUGGUCACCACUAGACUACUUUCUCCAGUUGAGGCAUUCCAGUCUCAUUAUGUAUUGGCGAAUGCUCUCUUAGGACUGGAAGUCUGGUCAACACACUGAACUUUCAGAUUUGGCACCAAAGAGAAAAGAAAAGGAAAAACUUAAAUGUCUCUUUUUUCCCUCCUAAUAUGCUUAUUAUUCACAACCAUCAUGUUUCUACACGGUUGCAACCUUUUGGUGGACAAAGGAUUAACAGUUUAUAUUAAGUAAGAGUGGUGCAAUUUAAAUAUUUCCAGGUACACAGAGCAAGACAAAAAAUUGAAUAUAAUACUCUUAAAUGUAUAUAUGCAUUUAAAUGGAAUUACAUCUCAAUUACAAUUACAUUCUUGGAAAUGUAUAACCCGAUAGUUGCUCUUAUUUUGCUUUCUCCAUGAAUCAGUCUUCUAAUAAUUGUUUUCUAGACUCAGUUUCCCAACUAAUGGAUGCAGAUCUCAGCCUUACCUAAUCGAACUCAAGAAGGUUGUCACUGUGCAUCUCUUUUCCACAUUUCCAGGAUGAACUCAGAAACAUCUCUGUUACGAGCUUAUUUCACACACACUAGAGAUUUUAAAACUUCUUUAAAAAGUCUAUUAAUAGCCCCACUGUGUAAAGCUCAGUGGCCUUUGCUGGGAAUCAUUUCAAAAUAUGGGGGGCAAUGACAGUAUACUCCAAAGGUAGACCAGACAUAUACUCUUGGUGGACUCAGAAUAUCAGGGGCUCAAGGGAUUUUAGGAGGCCUUUUGCUACCCACCCGCUGUUCAAAUCGCUUGCAGUGUCCCCAACCAGUAAUCAAGUCACAUUUUCUUUAAUCAUCAUUAUCAGUAAAUGUUAACCAGGAUAAAGUACUAUGUACCAAGCUGCAUGUUAAGCAUUUUAUAUGCAUUAUCUCAUUUAACCCUCACAAAUUCCCUAUAAAAGUAGGAACUAUUAAUAUCCCUAAGUUUAGAAUUGAAGACAUUAAGGUAUUAAAAGGAAAAGAAACUUGCCUAAGGUCACACAUCUUAUAAGUGGCAGAGAACACUGGCUGGCUGGCAACAGAGCCUACACUUUGUGCCACUUACAGCCUACUGUCCAGCCAUUUUUAAAAGACUAAAUUAUACACUGGGCUUCCCAGGUGGCACUAGUAGUAAAGAAAGUG